rnacentral:lncRNA from 1 species
AUUGGAAAAAAUGGUAGAAAAGAGGGAGAAAGAGCAUGUACCAAACUACAAACUAGUGGAUGAAGAUGAACAAUGCAUUAGAAGAACACGGAUGAUGAUCAUGCAUCAAAUAAGCCAGAGAUUUGCGAGAUUGAUCCCUGCAGAUUUUUUUUCACUGUAGCUCGAUCUGUUUUCCUUCAGUUUUUCGAUCUGGAACUGAUGCAGGGGAUAUAAAGAAGAUUUCACUUAAGCGACGAAAUAUUUCGUCGCUAAAGUCAAAAAGUUCCGUCACUUUAGUCUUAACCUAACACGACAAAAAUCAAUUCGUCGGUUAGGUGAAGGAAAUAAUGCGACAAAAAUUUUCGUCGCUCCAGAGUCAAAGGUUCCGUCGCUUUAGUCUAAAACUAAAGCGACGAAAUACAAAUUUGUCGGUUAGGUUAAGAAUAUAAUGCGACAAACGUAUUCGUCGCUUAAGUGUAACAUUUUCGUCGAUCGCUACAUAAAUAAUUUGCGACAAAAUUCUUGUUGUCGCCUUAAUAGAACCUGUGGCGACGAAUCUUAGGCGACAAAAAUAUUUCGUCGCCCCAGAAAACUGUAGCGACGAUAUUCGUUUUCGUCGCUUAGAAAUUGCUUAAGCGAUGAAAUGUGAAAGUACCCGUCGCUUAAGCCUUUUUUUCUACUAGUGUUCCGUCGGCUAAGUGAAUCCUCACCGACGGAAGAAGAGCCGUCAUCUAGGACACCACAUCCAUCGUCUAAGAUAUCUUAGGCGACGGAAAAUAAUCGUACACGUCUUCCGUCGACUAAGAUAUUCCUACACGACGAAAUACUAUUCGUCCUCCAGGUUCCGUCGGCAUAGUAAACCCUAGGCGACGAAUACCUUCCAUCGGUAUGAUUUCGUCGGCGUAGAUCUUCUUAAGCGAUGGAAAUGGACUGUCAAAAUAGUCCGUCGUCUAAGAUUUUCAAGGGCAACGAAUAAUGUUCCGUCGUCUGAAAUUUUCUUGGGCGACGAAUAUUCUUGACACGACUCACCCCGAAUUUCACCCUGAAACCCGGAGUAAGCCGUACGGGGACCAACUCCAAGGAAAAUUUACUGAAAAGAUUGAGAAAAUCUCCCUUGAAAAUGGACAACCUUAACUUGAAAAUUCCAAAUUACACUCUUAAUACAACACGUUCAAACAUCACAUAAUUAUCCUUCAGAAAUUCUAAACAUAAUAUACAAUAAUCCCAAAGUAUUCAGAGCUACUAGACACUAGCGGAAGCAAGAAAACACGAGUAGGUUAAACAUGUAGCCUACUGAAGAAAACUGGCGGAAAUGCGGGUGACUAUGCCUCGCCUCCUACUAGAUCCAACCUGAACUCUACAGACUGGGCAAUUUAAAACGAAUGGCCCAGGGAAAACAUUUAAUAACGUUAGAGUGAGUGGAAAAAAUAAAAUAAUAAAUAAAAUAUUUAUGUUUCCCCAAAUUAAUUUCUAAGGAAAAAUAGAAUGCAUGCCGCAAGCGAUAAAACUUUUAUCUCAUAAAAUAUCGAGCCUCUCAGACUCUAUAAAAUAUGUAUGUAUUUACACACGUCCAUACUCCCUAUAUAAAUUCAUGGGUCUAUAUAGGGCUACUACGCUCGCGUCCAACGCUCACGUCACGCCUUAAUGCGGUGCUACACUACGCCAUCAAGGUGGACAGACGGGUGUAUAAAUAUGUGUCCAUACCCCCUAUGUGAAUUAAACACUCAUAUAGGGCUACUACGCUCACGUCCAACGCUCACGUCACACCAUAAUGCGGCUAUAUGCUACGCCAUUAAGGUGGACAGACACAUAUGGCUAGCUAGCAUUUUAUAUACAUACCCUCUCAUAAAUACAUAUUUAUAUCCACCGAAAAUCCCAUUUUCAGUAACUCUCCAAGAGAAAUAAAAUUCGUCAAAUUAAAAUGACGUCAAAAUAUUCCGUAACAAUUAUUGUUCAACCAUGAACUCUAGCAUGCAUUUUAUUUAAAACAAAAGUCCACUCACAAAUUAGGCCUAAGCCUGAUGUCGAUCUGGGGCCUUGUCUGCUCGAGCCUCCUCACGUCCUGUUCCAAAUAUAAUAUUAAUUUCCCAACUAACAAUCCAAUAUUUAAUCAAAAUAGGCAAAAUUACCCGAGAGCCAUAAAUACGCUCAUCAUUGCCUAACUUCGAUAUUCUUAAAUCGAAACGAUCCGAAAUUAAAUAUCAUACUCGACAGUCGUAAAUACAACCUCCCCAAAAAUACGACUUAAAUCCUAUGGCCGGAUCUACAUUAAUUAACCGCCAAAAAUACCAAACUUCGGAAAUUCACAAACCUAUCCAAAUCUCAUCCAAAAAUUCCAUAAAUCACAUCAAUAUAAUCCCCUUAAUAUUCCACAUUUAAAACCCUAAAAAUCUCCCAAACCGCGGCGGCCGGAGGCCGAUUCCGAUGACCUCCGAUUCCUAUGAAAUUUUGAUAGAAUAAUCCUCUCAUCAUGCUCUACAACUUUCCUAACUAGCACAAACACCAAUUCCAAGCCUAACUAGGGUAAUCGACUAAAAACAUCAAAAACGCCAUAAAACUUCCACCUCAAAUUUCUCCUUACCUAGCUCAAGAGGGAGUGAGUCCUUUUUGGACAAGGCUGCUGGGUUAGAGACCUACAAAACCGUACCAAGCUUACCCAGAUUGGUGGCCGGAGGAGGGAGUUCCGGCGAUGGAGGACUUUGGGCAGCCCGAGGUUCUAGGCGGGAGAACUCCUUCACGGCGGCGCUAGGGCAGCCUUUACCAGCCUAGAAUGGAAGCUGGGUCGGAGGGCAACCGAAUGGGACCGAAGCGGUGGCCUACGGUGGCCGGACGGCGGCGAGCUGAGCGGAGGAAACCGACGGGGGAGAGAGAGCUCGGGAGGGAGAGAGAGAGAAGAGAAAGAAAAGAGAGAAGAAGAAAUAGGCUUGGGCCUCCUACCCGGUCCAAGUCCUAUAUACAACCCAAUUCCAAAAAUAAAACACCCCGAAAAAAUAAUACCCGAAUAAAAAUUACCUUUUACUAGCUAAAAUUUACCAUUUUUACCGUCAUCAUAUUUUCUCCCAAAAAAAAUUCCCCGAAAUUAAUCGUCCCUUAAAACACCACUAGGGACCAAUUAAACUAUUACCUCAAUGACGGAGACGGUAAAAUUCUUAUUAUAAUCAAGAUAGUAAAUAAGGUAAAAAUAUAAGGGUCGGGAUGUGACAAUUCUCCCCUCCUUAUAAAAAUUUCGUCCUCGAAAUUUACAUACCUGUCAUCCGAAGAGAUAGGGAUACUGCUGCAUCAUUUGCUCCUCUGAUUCCCAAGUAGCUUCUUCUACUUGAUGACUUCUCCAAAGCACCUUGACAAGCGGGAUUGUCUUAUUCCUAAGCACUUGCUCCUUUCGGUCGAGAAUCUGAACCGGUUCCUCUUCAUAGGUCAAAUAUCUCGUCAAACUGAUCGGCUGCUCUUGCAGCACAUGAGAAGGAUCGGCAAUAUACUUCUGAAGCAUGGAUACAUGAAACACAUUAUGUAUCCUAGCUAACUUUGGAGGCAAAAGUAGCCGAUAAGCAAGUGAGCCAACUCGCUCUAUAAUCUCAUAAGGGCCAAUAUACCUUGGACUAAGUUUUCCACGCUUACCGAAACGCACAACCUCUUUCCAAGGAGAUAAUUUCAGGAACACCCAAUCACCCACUUGAAAUUCAAGAUCUCUCCUACAGACAUCUGCAUAACUCUUCUGCCUACUUUGAGCGGUCUUGAGUCUAUCUCUAACCACUUUAAUCUUCUCAUUCGUAACAUGGAUUAACUCUGGGCCACAAAGCUCUUUUUCCCCUACUUCAUUCCAACACAAAGGCGUGCGACACUGCCUCCCAUAAAGAGCCUCAAAGGGAGCCAUACCAAUGCUAGAAUGACAGCUAUUAUUAUAGGCAAAUUCCAUCAAAGAUAGGUUUUUAUCCCAACUCCCUCUGAACUGCAAGGCACAAGCCCUCAACAUAUCCUCCAAAGUCUGAAUAGUCCUCUCGGACUGCCCAUCAGUCUGAGGAUGAAAAACAGUGCUGAAGAGUAAUUGGGUACCUAAAGCUGCCUGAAGAGCUCCCCAGAAUUUAGAAGCAAAUCGAGGAUCCCGAUCUGACACUAUUGAUUCAGGAACACCAUGAAGCCUCACAAUUUCAUUCACAUAGAGCUCCGCCAAAUUAUCCAAUUUAUACUUCUUUCCCACUGGCAAGAAAUGUGCAGACUUGGUGAGUCUAUCCACAAUCACCCAAAUACCGUCAUGCCUAUCACGGGUACGAGGUAAACUAAAAACAAAAUCCAUGGUGUUGUGGUCCCACUUCCACACUGGAAUAGGCAACGACUCAAGCAAUCCAGAAGGCUUCUGCCUUUCAGCUUUUACUUGCUGACAAACCAGACAUCUACUCACAUAAGCUGCAAUUUCCCUCUUCAUGUUUGGCCACCAAUAAUAAUCCUUCAAAAUCCGAUACAUUUUUGUGCUACCCGGAUGAGCAGCAUAUGCAGAGCUAUGAGCUUCCUCACUCUUCAACUCUUCAUUUCUUUUUGGAACACAUAGCCGGUUCUUAAACAACAGAGUCUCAUCUCUUCUAACUGAAAAAUGAUCGGCUGCGGCUCCAUUCGAAGCUCUUUCCAUCAAUCGAAUUAUGGAAGGAUCAUUAUACUGUGCUUCCCGCACUCUAUCAACCAAAACUGACCUCACAUGAAAACUGGCUAUCAAAGCACCAACCUCAUCUACUGAUAAAUCCACUCCUGUAGCUCGCAACUCACAAAGAAGCGGAACACGAACCAUCUUUAUAUGAGAUAAAGAUAUGGAGGGAUUUCGACUAAGAGCAUCCGCUACCACAUUAGCUUUUCCAGGGUGAUACUCAAUAGUGCAAUCGUAAUCAUUGAUUAACUCCAUCCACCUUCUCUGUCUCAUAUUUAGCUCCCUUUGAGUGAACACAUACCGAAGACUCUUGUGAUCGGUAAAAAUCUGACAAUUGGCUCCAUAAAGAUAGUGUCUCCACAACUUGAGAGCAAAAACUACCGCUGCAAGCUCCAGAUCAUGAGUAGGAUAAUUACCCUCAUGCGGUUUUAAUUACCUAGAAGCGUAGGCAAUAACUCGAUCAUGCUGCAUCAAAACUCCACCUAGACCACGUUUAGAAGCAUCACAAUAGACCACAUACUCUCCACUAUCAUCCGAAAGUGCCAAAACAGGAGCACUUGUCUUCAAUUCUUGGAAACUUUGCUCACAUUGAUCUGACCAUUCAAACUUAACCCCCUUCCUGGUCAAUCUUGUAAGAGGAGCAGCAAUCUUUGAAAAAUCUUUCACAAAGCGCCGAUAAUAACCUGCUAAUCUCAAGAAACUACGAAUCUCCGUCACAGUGGUAGGUCUUCUCCAAUUCGACACUGCUUCCACCUUUUGGGGAUCCACACUAACUCCUUCUGCCGAAAUCACAUGACCCAAAAACCCCACUUUAUCUAGCCAAAACUCACACUUGCUAAACUUAGCAAAUAACUGCGACUUUUCCAAAGUCCGCAAUAUUAUUCUUAGAUGCUUAGCAUGCUCCUUCUCACUUCUUGAGUAAACCAAUAUGUCAUCUAUGAAUACGAUCACGAAACGAUCAAGGUAUGGACUAAACACCCUGUUCAUGAGAUCCAUGAACGCCGCGGGUGCAUUAGUAAGUCCAAAAGGCAUCACCACAAACUCAUAAUGACCAUAUCGUGACCGAAAGGCAGUUUUGGCUAUGUCCCCCUCUCGGAUCCGCAACUGAUAAUAACCCGAUCUCAAAUCAAUCUUAGAGAAAACAGAGGCACCCCUCAACUGAUCAAAUAAAUCAUCGAUCCGAGGCAACGGAUAUUUAUUCUUCACUGUGACCUGAUUCAACUUUCUAUAAUCAAUGCAUAGUCUCAUGGUGCCAUCUUUCUUCUUAACAAACAACACUGGAGCACCCCAAGGAGACAUGCUAGGCCGAAUAAAACCCUUAUCUACCAACUCUUGCAAUUGAGUCUUCAACUCUUUCAAUUCUGCUAGAGCCAUUCUGUAAGGUGCUUGAGAGAUAGGCAUAGUUCCAGGAAGUAAUUCUAUAGAGAAGUCUAUCUCCCUUGCAAGAGGCAAACCAGGCAACUCCUCAGGAAAAACAUCCGGAAACUCCCUUACUACUAGAAUAUCUUCUAAUCCCACAACUCCCAUACUUGUAUCCACCACAUGAGCUAAAUAUGCCUGACAGCCUUUACUCAACAAUUUCCUUGCAGCAACAGCGGAAAUUAUGCAACUAGAAAUAACAUCUCUUUCUCCUUGGAAAGCAACCUCAAAACCAUCUGGACUUCGAAGCACCACUACUUUUUGAAAACAAUCUACCAUAGCUCUAUAUGCUUCCAAAAGGUCCAUUCCUAAGAUCACAUCAAACUCCACUAUAUCUAAAGGAAUUAAAUCAGCCUCGAAAUUAACUCCUUCCACUAAAACUUCACAACCACCAAAAACUCAAUUUAUUCUCAUCAACUCACCGGAGGGUAGAGACACAUGCCACUCGCCUGGAAGAGACGAUGAUGCCACAUUGGCUUGGGGGGCAAAUCUACUAGACAUGAAUGAAUGCGUGGCUCCGGGAUCAAUUAAAGUAAAAGCAGGCUGACCAAAAAUUAAUAACGUACCAAUGAUGACAUCUAGAGAAGUACGACCCUCCUGCUGGGUCAUAGCAUGCAGUCUAGCGUGAGUCAUGGGACGUCCACACUGACCACUUCCCCGCUGAGAGUCACCUCUGACCGAAGCACUGCCCUGGGCACCACUACUAGAGCCUCUAGCUGAAGACUGACCAACUGGCUGAGUAGGGGUGGGGGUCGUCCUCUGAGCCAAUAAUGGACAAUCUCUCCUGAAGUGGUCUUGACUACCACACUCAAAGCACCCAGAAAACUGCUGCUGCCCAUAAGAAAAAGUCUGGCUACCGGAUGACCCACCAUGGAAGCUACCACCAGAAUCAUACUGCCCAGACUGCUGCCUACCCAACUGACUCCUAGCAGGUCUCCUGUGACGUCCUCUAACCCUGAACCGAGAAUUAGAACUUGAUCCCCCACUACUGCCACUACCAGCUGAAGAACCAGAAGCGGAUGAUGAAGCAGCUUUCUUGGAUGGACCCUGACUGGGGCCACCGAAAUCUCGUGGCCGAGCACUAUAAAUCCCCAUAGACUCAAUAGCCAUGGCUGCAUGAACAGCAUCAGGGAAAGUCGGGUAAGAAACACCCGUCAUCUUAUCUGCAAACACUCCACCAAGUGCCCUAAUGAACAUCUCCAUCCUGGUCCUCUCUUCAGGAACCAGAUAUGACACAUGGUAGCUCAGGGAAGUGAAUCUCUCCUGGAACUCUAUAACACCCUCAUCAUCCCUCUUCUUCAUAUUCAGGAAAUCCGACUGAAUUCUGCUGCGGUGGGCAGGACUAAAAUACUGCCCCAAGAAAAGCGUCUUAAAUUGCUCCCACGACAUAUUCAGAGCAUCCUCAACAUUCCUGCUAGCGAGCGACCACCAGUGAUGUGCUGAAUCAUCCAGGAAAGUCACUGUCAUCUUCACCUUCCUUUCUUCUGGCAAAUCUGUGCUCGCAAAAGCCUUUUCCAUUUUUUCUGCCCAAGUAUAAACAUCAAGGGGUCCCUUGGCACCGUUGAACUCUCUUGCUCCAGCCUUAUAAACUUCUCUCCUCUUCACUGUAUGAGGGUGUGGAGCUCGAUCUAUAACAUCCCUCAGCAUAUUUCCAAUGUCAUCAACCAGUCCCCUGACCUCAUUGCCCUCAUCGGCAUUGGUCGAAGUAGCCACACGGGGUUGCCGUGGGCGCCUAGGAGGCAUAGUACCUGAGGAAGAAGAAAUUUAGUAGUCCAUAAACAAGACUAACACAACAAUCACACAUAUCCAAUAACACAUAGCAUAAAAAGCAUAAAAUACCAAUGAAUCCGCCGCGGUCGGAUCAUCACUCUAUAGACACUACGUGCUACUUAGGCAAAUAUGAUAGUGACAAGGAAGCAGGAAAAUGAAACCUAUAGCUCUGAUACCAACUGACACGACCCACCCCGAAUUUCACCCUGAAACCUGGAGUAAGCCGUGCGGAGACCACCUCCAAGGAAAAUUUACUGAAAAGAUUGAGAAAAUCUCCCUUGAAAAUGGACAACCCUAACUCGAAAAUUCCAAAUUACACUCUUAAUACAACAAGUCCAAACAUCACAUAAUUAUCCUUCAGAAAUUCUAAACAUAAUAUACAAUAAUCCCAAAGUAUUCAGAGCUACUAGACACUAACGGAAGCAAGAAAACACGAGUAGGUUAAACAUGUAACAUACUGAUGAAAACUAGCGGAAAUGCGGGUGACUAUGCCUCGCCUCCUACUAGAUCCAACCCGAACUCUACAGACUGGGCAAUUUAAAACGAAGGGCCUAGGGAAAACAUUUAAUAACGUUAGAGUGAGUGGACAAAAAUAAAAUAAUAAAUAAAAUAUUUAUGUUUCCCCAAAUUAAUUUCUAAGGAAAAAUCGAAUGCAUGCCGCAAGCGAUAAAACUUUUAUCUCAUAAAAUAUCGAGCCUCUCAGACUCUAUAAAAUAUGUAUGUAUUUACACACGUCCAUACUCCCUAUAUAAAUUCAUGGGUCUAUAUAGGGCUACGACGCUCGCGUCCAACGCUCACGUCACGCCUUAAUGCGGUGCUACAGUACGCCAUUAAGGUGGACAGACGGGUGUAUAAAUAUGUGUCCAUACCCCUUACGGCAGUGAACUUCCACUGGGGGUUAGUAAACUUCAAUACACUAUGUCCCUUUCAUAAUCAUGCCAAUUAUACACAACCGAUAUCCAUUCUUACCCUAAUAAACAACUUCAUUGAACCCUAGUAAACCCAUUGGAAGUUUACUGCCCCCUAUUAAACACUCAUAUAGGGCUACUACGCUCACGUCCAACGUUCACGUCACACCAUAAUGCGGCUAUAUGCUACGCCAUUAAGGUGGACAGACACAUAUGGCUAGCUAGCAUUUUAUAUACAUACUCUCUCAUAAAUACAUAUUUAUAUCCACCAAAAAUCCCAUUUUCGGUAACUCUCCAAGAGAAAUAAAAUUCGUCAAAUUAAAAUGACGUCAAAAUAUUCCGUAACAAUUAUUGUUCAAGCAUGAACUCUAGCAUGCAUUUUAUUUAAAACAAAAGUCCACUCACAAAUUAGGCCUAAGCCUGAUGUCGAUCUGGGGCCUCGUCUGCUCGAGCCUCCUCACGUCAUGUUCCAAAUAUAAUAUUAAUUUCCCAACUAACAAUCCAAUAUUUAAUCAAAAUAGGCAAAAUUACCCGAGAGCCAUAAAUACGCUCAUCAUUGCCUAACUUCGAUAUUCUUAAAUCGAAACGAUCCGAAAUUAAAUAUCAUACUCGACAGUCGUAAAUACAACCUCUCCAAAAAUACGACUUAAAUCCUACGGCCGGAUCUACAUUAAUUAACCGCCAAAAAUACCGAACUUCGGAAAUUCACAAACCUAUCCAAAUCUCAUCCAAAAAUUCCAUAAAUCACAUCAAUAUAAUCCCCUUAAUAUUCCACAUUUAAAACCCUAAAAAUCUCCCAAACCGCGGCGGCCGGAGGCCGAUUCCGACGACCUCCGAUUCCUAUGAAUUUUGAUAGAAUAAUCCUCUCAUCAUGCUCUACAACUUUCCUAACUAGCACAAACACCAAUUCCAAGCCUAACUAGGGUAAUCGANNN